rnacentral:rRNA from 1 species
GACGAACGCUGGCGGCGUGCUUAACACAUGCAAGUCGAACGAAGUGGCGAACGGGUGAGUAACGCGGAAUCAACCUGCCCUUCAGAGGGGGACAACAGGUGGAAACGACUGCUAAUACAGCAUACUGAAGUAGGGGAUUUCGUCUGAGUAGCUAGUUGGAGGGGUAACGCCCCACCAAGGCGAUGAUCAGUAGCCGGUCCGAGAUGAUGAACGGCCACCUUGGGACUGAGACACGGCCCAGACUCCUACGGGAGGCAGCAGUGGGGAAUCUUCCGCAAUGGACGAAAGUCUGACGGAGCAACGCCGCGUGAGUGAUGACGUCCUUCGGGUUGUAAAGCUCUGUUAAUCGGGACGCGGUACCGGAAUAUAAAGCCACGGCUAACUACGUGCCAGCAGCCGCGGUAAUAC